GUCUUAGGGGAGUAGCCGACCUCCGGUGACGGAGGGGUGUGCGUCAACAUGCUUGGCCGGCAGGCCAUGGCGCGCACGGCCCGCAGGUCCGGCAAGACCUAUGGCAUAGCACCUUGCUUGGGGGGCCGGGCGGGCGUGCAUGCCAUUGGUCUGUC
rnacentral:sRNA from 1 species